UGGAGCGCGUGGUUUAAUUCGAUGCUACACGAAGAACCUUACCAGGGUUUGACAUGCAAGUGGUAGGAAACCGAAAGGCGACCGACCCUUCGGGGAGCUUGCACAGGUGCUGCAUGGCUGUCGUCAGCUCGUGUCGUGAGAUGUUCGGUUAAGUCCGCUAACGAGCGCAACCCUCGCUGUGUGUUAUAUGUGUCACACGGGACUGCCGGUCUUAAGCCGGAGGAAGGUGAGGAUGAUGUCAAGUCAGCAUGGCCUUUAUAUCUUGGGCA
rnacentral:rRNA from 1 species